UACAGGGGGUGCAAACGUUGCUCGGAAUCAUUGGGCGUAAAGCGCACGUAGGCGGUUUGUUAUGUCGGAUGUGAAAGCCCUUGGCUCAACUGAGGAAGUGCAUCCGAAACUGGCAGCUAGAGUACUAAAGAGGGUCGCGGAAUUCCCGGUGUAGAGGUGAAAUUCGUAGAUAUCGGGAGGAACACCGGUGGCGAAGGCGGCGACCUGGGUAGAUACUGACGCUGAGGUGCGAAAGCAUGGGGAGCGAACAGG
rnacentral:rRNA from 1 species